UCAGCAGCCGCGGUAAUACAGAGGGUGCGAGCGUUGUUCGGAAUUAUUGGGCGUAAAGCGCGUGUAGGCGGCUUAGUAAGUUGGGUGUGAAAGCCCUCGGCUUAACCGAGGAAGUGCGCCCAAAACUGCUUGGCUUGAGUACCGGAGAGGGUGGCGGAAUUCCCGGUGUAGAGGUGAAAUUCGUAGAUAUCGGGAGGAACACCAGCGGCGAAGGCGGCCACCUGGACGGAUACUGACGCUGAGACGCGAAAGCGUGGGGAGCAAACAGGAUUAGAUACCCUGGUAGUCCACGCUGUAAACGAUGAGCGCUAGGUGUUGCGGGUGUUGACCCCUGCAGUGCCGCAGCUAACGCAUUAAGCGCUCCGCCUGGGAAGUACGGCCGCAAGGCUAAAACUUAAAGGAAUUGGCGGGGGA
rnacentral:rRNA from 1 species